GACGAACGCUGGCGGCGUGCUUAACACAUGCAAGUCGAACGGAAAGGCCCUGCUUUUGUGGGGUGCUCGAGUGGCGAACGGGUGAGUAACACGUGGGUAACCUGCCCUUGACUUUGGGAUAACUUCAGGAAACUGGGGCUAAUACCGGAUAGGAGCUCCUGCUGCAUGGUGGGGGUUGGAAAGUUUCGGCGGUUGGGGAUGGACUCGCGGCUUAUCAGCUUGUUGGUGGGGUAGCGGCUUACCAAGGCUUUGACGGGUAGCCGGCCUGAGAGGGUGACCGGCCACAUUGGGACUGAGAUACGGCCCAGACUCCUACGGGAGGCAGCAGUGGGGAAUAUUGCACAAUGGGCGGAAGCCUGAUGCAGCAACGCCGCGUGCGGGAUGACGGCCUUCGGGUUGUAAACCGCUUUCGCCUGUGACGAAGCGUGAGUGACGGUAAUGGGGAAAGAAGCACCGGCUAACUACGU
rnacentral:rRNA from 1 species